rnacentral:rRNA from 1 species
UACAGAGGGGGCAAGCGUUGUUCGGAAUUACUGGGCGUAAAGGGCGCGUAGGCGGCCUUCUAAGUCGAACGUGAAAUCCCUGGGCUCAACCCAGGAACUGCGUCCGAUACUGAAAGGCUUGAAUCCGGGAGAGGGAUGCGGAAUUCCGGGUGUAGCGGUGAAAUGCGUAGAUAUCUGGAGGAACACCGGUGGCGAAGGCGGCAUCCUGGACCGGUAUUGACGCUGAGGCGCGAAAGCCAGGGGAGCAAACGGG